UGCACGUGGCUGGGAGACAGAUUCAAGUGUAAUCCACUUUAGGUUUGAGGGGUCACCUCUAUCACCUCGCUUUUAGCCUUGAGAAAACAGUAAAAAAUCCAAAGAUUAUUGGGGUAGGCCCACACUGAGAAGAUCCUACUGGUCCCUGUGUUAACUCUUAACAAUCAAGUCCUCUUUUCAGGAUAAGGUUUCCUCAAUAAGCCAAGAUAUCAGAUGCAGCGGGACACUUCAUGAAACUUCACACCAUUUCUGCAAGUAGCUGGGUAGAUUGUAUCCGUGAGCCACAAUCGGUAUCUUCAUAAUGCAGAAUGCCAGGCUGUUUCUCUCUCAGUCUACUAGAAAUGUUUGAGUAAUACAGACAAUUUACCAUGUCACUGGGGACCCAUGGUUUAUCCUGGCCAUCAGCGUGUCUCUAAUGA